rnacentral:piRNA from 1 species
UCACAUUAGUGAAUUCCUAAGGAUGAGAU